rnacentral:lncRNA from 1 species
GAUUAUAAUUCUUACAAGGAGAUAGAAAAUUUAAAAACAUUAAACCAAAUUUGAAAUAGAAUUAUUUAGCUUUUGUAAAUUAGGAAAUAUUUGGGCAUGAAUUGAGGUAUGCUGAUAGCUGAGCAACAUAUCUCUCUGGUGAAGCUUUGCAAAACAUUUUGCAUGAAGUGUGGCUCUGGCCAAUUCCCAGGCCACUUCCUGUCACAGAGAAGCAGUGUUAAGUGGGUGAAGGCAUAUUCCCCCUAUCUCCCCCCGCCAAGAGCCAGGAGAUUGGCCACCAGCCAACUCUGCUUUCACCAAGUCACUGAGCAGUCAUCUCACCAUGAGUCUCAGCAUCUUCAUCACUGCAGAAGAUGAACCAGUAAAGGCUCUUUCAGUCCCAAGUGAAACUGAAGAAGGGUUUAACCUAUAAAAUGCCUCAGAUUUUGUUCUGUAAAGCCAAAAUGAGUUAACCAUGAAAAACGCUUAGAAGAGUGCCUGGCAUGUUGUAGCUGCCUUAUAAAAUUAGUCACUGGAAUCAUUAUCAUUAUGCCUAGAGCACUAAAGAUGAUAGUUCUGUGGGGCUGAACAAAGACUUAGUUUGAGACAAAGCCAAAAUUAGACCCCAAAGGCUCAGAUUUCAGCUCUGAGCUCUUUGGUCUCUUGCUUCCUCUGAAGGUUCUCAGAAUUUGUCAUGAAAUCAUGUAUGGCUCGUUCACCACUAUGGUGAUGGAGUAAAGGACAUAGUCCUAACUUUAUAGCGCUAUUGAUUGGAACUUUGGGCCAGGAUUAGAAAGAUGGCAUCACUAGAAAAAACAUCCAGGUAACAGAUGUGAUAAGUGGUUAAAUGGUCACCUUAACUGAGUCCCCAGGGGAGAGAGGGAUUUGUUCUAUCUUGAUUGUUCAUAAGUGAAGUCUUCGUAAAGGAUGACUUUGGAGAUAAACCUGGGAGGACAAUGGGGAUUUCUGCAGUCAGGGCUGAGCAGAAAGAUGCAGCUGGCUGAGGAGGCUGCAUGGCAAGUGUGGAACCCCAAAUGCCUGCAAUAUUGAGGUUGUGUGUGGUUUGUGUAGUGGAGGUAUGGGGGGGUGACAAGAAAGAGGGUCUGGGCCUACUGAGAUUCUGUAGGGCCUCAAAUGCCAAGCCAAGGAGCAUGGGCUUCCUCCCCUGGGACAGCAUUUCCAGCUAGGUCUAGAAGAGCUCUCUAGGACUCCUUGGAGCUUCCUUGGGCUCCAGAAACAGGGAGAACUGGAAGUCUUUAGGAAAGGCUGUUGAGUCCUCUGCCCCUGCUUUGCUCAGAGAAGCUUUAGAUUGUAUCUGUUUUCUACCCUGGAGAUUGUUAGAUCAUUCAAUUUUUAAAUAUUGAAAAACAUUUGGGUUUCUUCUGUUUAUACAAAAGGGUUAGAAUCCACUGUGUAAGUAACAGUGGGGAUUCAGCAAAAUUCAGAAAAGUGACCCCAUGGAUCUGGUGUUUUAGAAAGCUCAACCUGGCAAUAAUGUGGCAGAUAAGUGAAGAGGCUGGUAUGGCAAUCUGGGUGAGCAAUAAGGAAAUGUAAACCAAUGGCAAGGAGGGAUGGAUUUGAGGGGCAGUUCAGAGAUUAAGGGACCAUGACCUGGAGAUGGAUUUGGUUUGGAGAAAGAGGGUUUCUAACCUGGGUUCUCUGGCUGAUAAUGAGUGACAGUGAUAAAAAUCAGCAGUCUGGGUUACCUUGAGGACAGUGAUCUUGGAAAUCAGGUGAAAGAAGCUGUAAGAAUGAAUGGAUCCCACAGAGAACAGCAAGCAGAAUGUCUGGAACAAACUGAUGAAACUUGGAAGAAAAAAACCUCCUGAGGGGCCUCGUGAGGAAGCUCUAGCCUUAGAGGACAGCUGCACAGAGCAGGGACAACCCUCACCUGCAUCUUCAGCAUCUGAUUAAGACCCCUUGGAGGAUCUCCAGCUUGGAAGUCAUGUCAGCUCUUCCAUGGGACAGUUGAAAGAGAUGUUUUGCAAAUGCUAAGCUGCCAGGAAUUCCCUUGAUACUGAGAACAAUCGGACUCAUUUUUAUUUGGCAGAAAAAUCCUUUGUGUGUUUCAUUGGAUGUCUGGGAAGGUGGCCUUCUGCCAAAUGAUGACCGAACCUCUUUUCUUAAUUUGUUGGAGUGUUGGAAAAUAUGGCCAAAUGUGCUCUGACCCCACAAUUCAAAUUAAUCUACGGAAUUAAAAGGUGUUCCGUGCCCUUCCUCAGAAUAGACUGUUGAUUGACGUGGGGACUUGGAAUUCUAGAGCUCCUAAUUCUUGGCUGGAUUAAAGGGGAUAUAUCAGCCAGAUACCCACAGGUGGUAUGAGCACUUGAAUGUGGCUAGUUUAAACUGAUAGAUGCACAAGUAUAAAAUGCACAGUGGAUCUAAAAACUUAGUAUGAAAAUUAUAAAAUAUACCAACUUAAAAUACUUGUUACAUAUUGGGAUGAUGGUAUUUGGAAUUCAUGAGAUUAAAAAAUGUAUAUUAUCAAAAUUAAUUUCACAUUUUCUAUACUUGUUUUAGUGUAGCUACUAGUGAAGUAAAAAUUACAUAUAUAUGUAGCUAAACAUCAUGGCAUCUUCAUUACUUUUCUGUGAGAGGUAUCUUUAAAUUAUUUUAACUGACACAUAGACACAUAAAAA